rnacentral:tRNA from 1 species
AGGCCUGUGGUGGGUUCGUCCAGGACAUAGACGCUGCGGCCGUUUGAGCGUUUCUGGAGCUCGGCCGCGAGCUUCACGCGCUGGGCCUC